AAGAGCCUCCAGGGCAAGGUGAGUUACCUAAAAUAGGUAACAAUUCCUGAUCGGUGGUGAUAGGGUAUUCCCCUUAAGCCCACGAGCAACCCAAAAGGUUGUUGAUUGGGUGAAAAUCCCAAGCCGACAGUAAAGUCUGGAUGGAAGGAGGUUUGA
rnacentral:ncRNA from 2 species